CCCCGCCCCACACACACGUAGCCAUAACCUGCUUUCAGGUCACAGGGAGCAAUAAGGUCUCUCCUGAGCCUCCUCCAGACUGAGCAAUCCCAGUUCCCUCAGCCACUCCCCAUAAGACUUGUGCUCCACACCCUUCACAGCUUUGUUGCCCUUCUCUGAAAGCGCUUCAGGGCCUCAACGCCUUCCUUGUAGCGAGGGGCCCAAAACUGAAGUCAAGGUGCGGCCUCACCAGUGCUGAAUACAGAGCAUAUUGCUGCUGUUACAGUAUCAUGCAGCUUUCUGCAUGAUUUUGCAGCACGAGUUGAACAAGCUUAUAUUCCCCUGUAUGUAACAAGCACACGUGGGAUUUAAUGUCUUGGCAUAAGGCAGUCUGACUGUAUAUGGAAGGCUUAGGAUAUCUGCAGCACCUUUGAGGUUGGCUCUCUCAAUCAAGAAACAAGUCGACAGAACAAAUGGUGGCAUUUACUUAGCCAUAUUCCCACGUACACAGUUUGUAGCCCAAUUAUGUUUUCAAUAAUAGAAGGAUACAUUUAAGUGCUCAUUUUAAUUAUGGAUCUUCUAAAUCUGAGAUUGUAACCUCCUCUCGAAAUAAAACUGGUAUUGGCAGGGCAUUUUAUUACAUAAGGUUA